rnacentral:rRNA from 1 species
UGGGGAAUUUUGGACAAUGGGCGCAAGCCUGAUCCAGCCAUGCCGCGUGCAGGAUGAAGGCCUUCGGGUUGUAAAGCUCUUUUGGCGGGGACGAUGAUGACGGUACCGUAAGAAUAAGCACCGGCUAACUACGUGCCAGCAGCCGCGGUAAUACGUAGGGUGCGAGCGUUAAUCGGAAUUACUGGGCGUAAAGUGUGCGCAGGCGGUUAUAUAAGACAGAUGUGAAAUCCCCGGGCUCAACCUGGGAACUGCGUUUGUGACUGCAUAACUAGAGUACGGCAGGGGGAGGUGGAAUUCCGCGUGUAGCAGUGAAAUGCGUAGAUAUGCGGGGGAACACCGAUGGCGAAGGCAGCCUCCUGGGCCAGUACUGACGCUCAUGCACGAAAGCGUGGGGAGCAAACA